rnacentral:rRNA from 1 species
CCAGACUCCUACGGGAGGCAGCAGUGAGGAAUAUUGGUCAAUGGGCGCGAGCCUGAACCAGCCAAGUCGCGUGAGGGAUGACGGCCCUACGGGUUGUAAACCUCUUUUGUCGGGGAGCAAAUUCCGCCACGCGUGGCGGAGUCGAGAGUACCCGAAGAAAAAGCAUCGGCUAACUCCGUGCCAGCAGCCGCGGUAAUACGGAGGAUGCGAGCGUUAUCCGGAUUUAUUGGGUUUAAAGGGUGCGUAGGCUGUGAGGCAAGUCAGCGGUGAAAUGCCCCCGCUCAACGGGGUGAAGUGCCAUUGAUACUGCCUUGCUGGAAUGCGGAUGCCGUGGGAGGAAUGUGUGGUGUAGCGGUGAAAUGCAUAGAUAUCACACAGAACACCGAUUGCGAAGGCAUCUCACGAAUCCGCGAUUGACGCUGAUGCACGAAAGCGUGGGUAUCGAACAGGAUUAGAUACCCGGGUA